rfam:Nematostella vectensis strain CH2 x CH6 NEMVEscaffold_350_Cont24646, whole genome shotgun sequence.
ACCAGGAUGGCCGAGUGGUUAAGGCGUUGGACUUAAGUUCAAAUGUACGAAUGUACGCGUGGGUUCGAACCCCACUCCUGGUA